AUAUAUAGGAGAUAUUUGUUUUGCAAAUGGACAAUCUGAAUAGAAUGCUAUUAUACUGUCAUUCAAGAAGCCAAUAAAAAAAUCAUUUUGAGAUGGUACAUAGUAAUUUCAGUAAAGAUAUUUUUACACUACCCUACAUUCAAGUCAGUCUAGCCCUUGAAUAAUUGCCAUGAAAUUUAAACACAAAAAUACUGAAUAUCCUGAAAUAUGCCUGAAUUCCAAUCGCUCAGAAGCAUGUUUUAAAAUCUAGAAUAUAUUUUAAACAUUUGCAUAAUACAGGAUUGAUUUUAUAACAUCCAGUGUUCUCCCAAGAAUUUUCAAAUAGCACCAUGGAAAUUAACAUAGCACUGGAUUUCCCAAAAAAUAUAGCAGCAUGGUGCCUAUACAUUCUAUUGUAAAAUUCUUCAAGAUAGCACCAUGAUGGUAGAAAAUGCAGCUUCAGGGUACCAGGGUGCUUUAAAGCCCUGGAAAGGACACUUGACAUCAAUGAAAAUUGAAAGGUCUAGAUAAUCUGUCACAAAAAGAGUUUUUACUUUAUGUCAAAUUCAAAUUGUGUAUAUAAUUUUCAUUUUAGGUGACUAAAAAGAUAUUUUAUAUGUAUCAUUACAUCAACUCAUAGUCACACCAAGCUCAUAAAAUUAAAAUUAGUAAAUAUAUUGAAGUCAAACUUACAGAGAUGUUACUUCAGGGACUCAAACCCACCUUUCUUUAAUGUUGUGUUGAUUUUGUAAGCAUUAACCAAAUUAAUUCAUUAUAAGAUAAUGGUAUUUUUGCCAUGUUCUGAAGUCCUAUUACUAUGAUGAUGAUUAACAAAAAAAUAUGGUGUACAAGUACCUGGAAGCUCAUUGGAUUUCGUUUUACAUGAGAUCCUCCAUAUUGAUGUUUUGAAAGCCAUGAAACAAAAAUUAUGAAUCUGUA
rnacentral:lncRNA from 1 species